GACGAACGCUGGCGGCGUGCCUAAUACAUGCAAGUAGAACGCUGAAGGAGGAGCUUGCUUCUCUGGAUGAGUUGCGAACGGGUGAGUAACGCGUAGGUAACCUGCCUGGUAGCGGGGGAUAACUAUUGGAAACGAUAGCUAAUACCGCAUAAUAGUAGAUGUUGCAUGACAUUUGCUUAAAAGGUGCAAUUGCAUCACUACCAGAUGGACCUGCGUUGUAUUAGCUAGUUGGUGGGGUAACGGCUCAACAAGGCGACGAUACAUAGCCGACCUGAGAGGGUGAGCGGCCACACUGGGACUGAGACACGGCCCAGCAUCCUAAGGGAGGCAGCAGGAGGGAAACUUCGGCAAUGGACGGAAGUCUGAACGAGCAACGCCGCGUGAGUGAAGAAGGUUUUCGGAUCGUAAAGCUCUGUUGUAAGAGAAGAAAGAGUGUGAGAGUGGAAAGUUCACACUGUGACGGUAUCUUACCAGAAAGGGACGGCUAACUACGUG
rnacentral:rRNA from 1 species